rnacentral:rRNA from 1 species
UACGGAGGGGGCUAGCGUUGUUCGGAAUUACUGGGCGUAAAGAGCACGUAGGCGGUCCGCUAAGUCGGGCGUGAAAGCCCGGGGCUUAACCCCGGAAUUGCGCUCGAGACUGGCAGGCUGGAGUCCGGAAGAGGAGAGUGGAAUUCGCAGUGUAGAGGUGAAAUUCGUAGAUAUUGGGAAGAACACCGGUGGCGAAGGCGGCUCUCUGGUCCGGUACUGACGCUGAGGUGCGAAAGCGUGGGGAGCAAACAGG